UAUCAAUUACAGUAUUAUAAUGCAUGGUUGUAUCAUAACUAAUACACUAUAAUCAUGCAUUUCACUUACAUGCACACAAAGAGCUCCACAACUAGCAUUUUAGAAAGAUUAAAUUCAUAUACUGAUCUGUAUAUAAUUGCCUAUAAUUUGCAUUUCGGCACAUGUUGGCUCAUAUUUUUCUCAGCUAGCUCAUAUAUUCAUCACAACACUAACACACGUCUUGCUUUUUUCUUAUUGCAGAGGCUGUCUAGGUGCUGUUUUGGUGUUUCCCGUGGUGCACAUGUGUGCUGCCUUUCCUACAGUGCUCUGAACCUCUGACAUUAGCAAAUGAUUUGCUUUAUCCGAAAAUGCUAGGUGGUGGCGGCGGCGUUGUGUUCAGUGGCUAAGUGCAUUUUGGUUCGUUGGUCAUUGAAAAUAUUUCACCUGAUGAAGGUUCAACGAACAUCGAGUUGUGGUACCUGAUGUAGAUGCGGAGUGGAGAAAAGACCUGAGUAGGACUAGUGAUUUUCACCUUGCAGCCCAUCCUAUUCGAAAGUGUCUAUGCCUCGGACAUGACAAUUUGAUAAUUCAGAAUUUUUUGUAGUGAACAAACUUAAACAAUGAUGCAUCAAUGCCAAUUAUAUUGAUUGAUUUUAUGUUGGAACACGGAAAAAGGUUUAGCUCACCGCUUAAUCGGAAUGAAAUGUGGACCGAUGGGUAUUUGAACCUUGGUGAAGUGAUGGAUAUCAGUUGUAUUUUUUUAAUAAAAUUAUAGUUUACAUGAA